rnacentral:tRNA from 1 species
ACUCAGAUAGCUUAGCAGGAAGAGCCUUUAGUGCGUAACCAAAAGAUCCGGGUUCAAUUCCCGGUCCAGGCU